UACGUAGGUGGCAAGCGUUGUCCGGAUUUACUGGGCGUAAAGAGCGCGCAGGCGGUCGUUCAAGUCGCGUGUGAAAGCCCCCGGCUCAACUGGGGAGGGUCACGCGAUACUGAUCGACUCGAAGGCAGGAGAGGGAAGUGGAAUUCCCGGUGUAGUGGUGAAAUGCGUAGAUAUCGGGAGGAGCACCAGUGGCGAAGGCGACUUCCUGGCCUGUUCUUGACGCUGAGGCGCGAAAGCCAGGGGAGCGAACGGG
rnacentral:rRNA from 1 species